UAACACCCUUUUCACCGUGGUUCUGC
rnacentral:piRNA from 1 species